rnacentral:rRNA from 1 species
GACGAACGCUGGCGGCGUGCUUAACACAUGCAAGUCGAACGAAGUGGCGAACGGGUGAGUAACGCGUAAUCAACCUGCCCUUCAGAGGGGGACAACAGUUGGAAACGACUGCUAAUACCGCAUACUGAAGGAGGGGAUUGCGUCUGAUUAGCUAGUUGGAGGGGUAACGGGCCACCAAGGCGAUGAUCAGUAGCCGGGCUGAGGGGAUGAACGGGCAAAUUGGGACCGAGACAAGGGCCAGACUUCUACGGGAGGCAGCGGGGGGGAAUCUUCGGCAAUUGACGAAAGGCUGACGGAGCAACGCCGGGGGAGUGAUGACGGCCUUCGGGUUGUAAAGCUCUUUUAAUCGGGACGCGGUACCGGAAUAGAAAGCCACGGCUAACUACGUGCCAGCAGCCGCGGUAAUAC